ensembl:lncRNA
CUUGCAAUAGGAGAGCCCAUUGUCUCGCGUCAGAUGGCGUCACUCCUACGCGACGCUCGUUUUGAGUGCAGACGGCCGUCAGCGCUAUCUGACGUCAGACAAUGUAGGAGAGCCUAGAAAGGCGUAGCUAGAGAAACGGCACACCUAGCUAGGGAGAUGCUACUGCUAGCUAAUUAGCUAGCUAGAUAUGCUAGCUAAUCUUAAGAAAACCUACAGGAGACCUUUGUAGCCUAACUAUAGCACAGCUAGCUAGAGAGAUGCCAGCUUUUAGCUAACCCAAGGCCGGUCUAAAGGUGAUCCAAGUAUCUUUAGCAUGGCAGGCUAGCUAGAGGAAUGCUAGCUACUUGCUAAUUUAAACAAAGCACUUAAGGUGAUUCCGUUUUCGUCCUCAUGCUAGCCAGCAGUAGCCACAUGCUGGCUAGCAUGAGGGAAAAAUAACGUCUCAGCAGUGUCUUAAUCUAAACAAAAGCCCUUUCCAACCAUAUAGCAGAGCGUAUAAGGUUGGAAUCUUCUAGCUUACCUAAAGGUGAUUUGUGUGUCUUUAGCAUGGCUGGCUAACUAGCUAGAGAUGCUAGCAAUAUGCUAACCUAAAUAACUUCUAACGGUGAUCCUUGUGUCUUUAGCACCCUUAUAUAACCCAAACUAAUCCAGUGACAUCCAUAAUAUGGUCUGAUAAUAUUUGUAUUAUAUUAUUUUACAUAUAGCCUAACUCCUGUGUUUUUAGUUCUACAUGUUCGAAAUUCUAAGUUCUAAACUUCUCUAUUGUGAGUUUAAAUUAUGUUUUGUCGUUAAUGUGAGCUGUCACACAAGACGGUCUUGUUGGUGGCUCAUGCCGCACCUGAUGGAUGGUCUUCAUCCUGUCACAGUGUUUCCACAACAACUCCAACCUGCCACAGCAGAUCUCCUGUUACCAGCAAGACCUCGCCAUAAACCUUAUUCAAUAGAAACCAAAAUGGACGUAAAUGGGGAGGGACUACCUCAACUUGUCCAAAAAUAAACUCCAAUGAAGCGGUUUUUCUACCGCUGUGCACUAGUGAUUAUGAC